rnacentral:misc_RNA from 1 species
UACGGAGGGUGCGAGCGUUAAUCGGAAUUACUGUGCGUAAAGCGCGCGUAGGCGGUCUGUUAAGUCGGAUGUGAAAGCCCCGGGCUCAACCUGGGAAUUGCACCCGAUACUGGCCGCCUCGCGUACGAGAGAGGGAUGUAGAAUUCAACGUGUAGUGGUGAAAUGCGUAGAUAUGUGGAGGAAUACCGGUGGCGAAGGCGGCCUCCUGGCUCGAUACUGACGCUGAGGUGCGAAAGCAUGGGGAGCAAACAGG